rnacentral:sRNA from 1 species
UUCACAGCCCAGGGGAACUGAGCCAGGUACAGAGCCUGUAACAACAGCAGUACAAACUUCCCCACAUUGCUCCAUCCAUGUGCAUCAGCAUGAAGGGGACCCUCUCCCGAUAGUCCAUUUUCCAUGUCCAUUCAGACCCUUGCCUCU